rnacentral:piRNA from 1 species
UGUAAGGAUUGACAAUGUCAAGGUUGUGGC